GGAGGGAUCAUUACCGAGUUUACAACUCCCAAACCCCUGUGAACAUACCUUUAUGUUGCCUCGGCGGAUCAGCCCGCGCCCCGUAAAACGGGACGGCCCGCCGCAGGAACCACAAAACUCUGAUUUUAGUGUAACUUCUGAGUCUAAAAAACAAAUAAAUCAAAACUUUCAACAACGGAUCUCUUGGUUCUGGCAUCGAUGAAGAACGCAGCAAAAUGCGAUAAGUAAUGUGAAUUGCAGAAUUCAGUGAAUCAUCGAAUCUUUGAACGCACAUUGCGCCCGCCAGUAUUCUGGCGGGCAUGCCUGUUCGAGCGUCAUUUCAACCCUCAAGCCCCCGGGUUUGGUGUUGGGGAUCGGGCUGUACUCCAGCCCGGCCCCGAAAUCUAGUGGCGGUCUCGCUGCAGCCUCCAUUGCGUAGUAGCUAACACCUCGCAACUGGAACGCGGCGCGGCCAAGCCGUUAAACCCCCAACUUCUGAAUGUUGACCUCGGAUCAGGUAGGAAUACCCGCUGAACUUAAGCAUAUCAAUAAGCGGAGGAAAAGAAACCAACAGGGAUUGCCCUAGUAACGGCGAGUGAAGCGGCAACAGCUCAAAUUUGAAAUCUGGCUCUCGGGCCCGAGUUGUAAUUUGUAGAGGAUGCUUUUGAUGCGGUGCCUUCCGAGUUCCCUGGAACGGGACGCCAUAGAGGGUGAGAGCCCCGUCUGGUUGGAUGCCAAAUCUCUGUAAAGCUCCUUCGACGAGUCGAGUAGUUUGGGAAUGCUGCUCUAAAUGGGAGGUAUAUGUCUUCUAAAGCUAAAUACCGGCCAGAGACCGAUAGCGCACAAGUAGAGUGAUCGAAAGAUGAAAAGCACUUUGAAAAGAGAGUUAAAAAGUACGUGAAAUUGUUGAAAGGGAAGCGUUUAUGACCAGACUUGGGCUUGGUUAAUCAUCUGGGGUUCUCCCCAGUGCACUUUUCCAGUCCAGGCCAGCAUCAGUUUUCGCCGGGGGAUAAAGACUUCGGGAAUGUGGCUCCCUCCGGGGAGUGUUAUAGCCCGUUGUGUAAUACCCUGGCGGGGACUGAGGUUCGCGCUUCUGCAAGGAUGCUGGCGUAAUGGUCAUCAACGACCCGUCUUGAAACACGGACCAAGGAGUCGUCUUCGUAUGCGAGUGUUCGGGUGUCAAACCCCUACGCGUAAUGAAAGUGAACGCAGGUGAGAGCUUCGGCGCAUCAUCGACCGAUCCUGAUGUUCUCGGAUGGAUUUGAGUAAGAGCAUACGGGGCCGGACCCGAAAGAAGGUGAACUAUGCCUGUGUAGGGUGAAGCCAGAGGAAACUCUGGUGGAGGCUCGCAGCGGUUCUGACGUGCAAAUCGAUCGUCAAACAUGGGCAUGGGGGCGAAAGACUAAUCGAACCUUCUAGUAGCUGGUUUCCGC
rnacentral:misc_RNA from 1 species